AGUUCAACCAUUGGAGAAGAUGGUGUGGUGAUUCCUCAAAGACCUAAAAUCAGAAAUGUCAUUCUACCUAUCAAACCCAUUACUAGAUAUACACUCAAAGGAAUAUAUAUCAUUCUGUUAUAAAGACACAUGCACACUUACGUUUACUGCAACACUACAUUUGAAAUAGCAGU